rnacentral:rRNA from 1 species
CGGCGGACGGGUGAGUAACACGUGGAUAACCUACCUAUAAGACUGGGAUAACUUCGGGAAACCGGAGCUAAUACCGGAUAAUAUUUUGAACCGCAUGGUUCAAAAGUGAAAGACGGUCUUGCUGUCACUUAUAGAUGGAUCCGCGCCGCAUUAGCUAGUUGGUAAGGUAACGGCUUACCAAGGCAACGAUGCAUAGCCGACCUGAGAGGGUGAUCGGCCACACUGGAACUGAGACACGGUCCAG